CCGGGUGUGGUCCGGCAGCCGCCGGUUCGAGGCCGACCAGGUGUUCGUCUGCAGUGGCCCGGAGUUCGAGCAGCUGUAUCCGGA
rnacentral:tRNA from 1 species